AUAUGUAUUUGAUAAGAAGAUAGGUUUCCUAGAGAAAACUUUUUUUUGCGAUGUGAAUUUAAAUUAAAGAAAAUUAAUAAUACUAGGAGUCUCCGGUGACUCGAAUUCAAGAUCUUCUGCUCUGAUACCGUAUAAGACUUUUGUUGUAUAUACUUUAAGGUAGCGUUUGGUUCGGAAACAUGGGGGAAUAAGCCCUCCACUACAAUAAAAGUAGUGUAUAGCGACAUUUUUAAAUAUCGGUACAAAUUAAAAAAAAUGCUGCUGGCUAAAUUACCGACACUUUUAAAGAGUUUUGCUAUAUGUGGGGUCGCUAGGUAUAUAGUGGCAGUUUAAGAGUGUCAGUAUAAGUUAAAAAGAAUGCUGAUGCUGCUAAUUUACCAACGCUUAUUUAAGCAUUUAGUAACCACCGGAACCUACCUCAUCGGCUGCAACGGUGGAGGAGGAGGAGAGCAAGUGGUUCUUCGUCUAGGAUUUCAAUGGAUUGAGUGAGGAAAGAAGGGGAGAUGGUGAUGGAUUUUUCUUCUUUUUUUUCCGUUUUUGUUUGUAAUCAUGUGCUGAAUAGGCUGGGUAAGAUAUGUUGAGUAGAGUAACAUUUUUUUUUUGUUGGAUUUGACUUUAUAUUUAGACAUUAAUAGAUUUUUUUAAAAAAAUUUUGGUAUAAAUACGAAGUGUCCUAAAAAUAUGUCCCUAUAACCUAAUUCUGUUGUAAUGUUUUAUUCCCCCCUUUGUUCCCAAAACGUGACGUUUGGUACCUGAGAACAGUAGUUCUCGGGUUUCUUGAAUAAGCCGGUAUUAGGCUGUAACGUAUGUUUCACCUUUUUUUGGAACAAGCUUGCUCCCAAGUGAGAAUUCUAUCGUUAAAUAAUCCGACAUGUUAACCAAUGAUCCAACAUCUAUGAUGUUU
rnacentral:lncRNA from 1 species